ACUCAAAGGAAUAGACGGGGGCCCGCACAAGCGGCGGAGCAUGUGGAUUAAUUCGAUGCAACGCGAAGAACCUUACCUGGGCUUGACAUACACCGGAUCGGGCUAGAGAUAGUCUUUCCCUUUGUGGCUGGUGUACAGGUGGUGCAUGGUUGUCGUCAGCUCGUGUCGUGAGAUGUUGGGUUAAGUCCCGCAACGAGCGCAACCCUUGUCUUAUGUUGCCAGCAUUUGGUUGGGGACUCAUGAGAGACUGCCGGGGUCAACUCGGAGGAAGGUGGGGAUGACGUCAAAUCAUCAUGCCCCUUAUGUCCAGGGCUUCACACAUGCUACAAUGGUCGGUACAACGCGCAGCGACACUGUGAGGUGGAGCGAAUCGCUGAAAGCCGGCCUUAGUUCGGAUUGGGGUCUGCAACUCGACCCCAUGAAGUCGGAGUCGCUAGUAAUCGCAGAUCAGCAAUGCUGCGGUGAAUACGUUCCCGGGCCUUGCACACACCGCCCGU
rnacentral:rRNA from 1 species